CCUACGGGUGGCAGCAGUAGGGAAUAUUGCUCAAUGGGGGAAACCCUGAAGCAGCAACGCCGCGUGGAGGAUGAAGGUUUUCGGAUUGUAAACUCCUUUUGUUAGAGAAGAUAAUGACGGUAUCUAACGAAUAAGCACCGGCUAACUCCGUGCAAGCAGCCGCGGUAAUACGGAGGGUGCAAGCGUUACUCGGAAUCACUGGGCGUAAAGAGCGCGUAGGCGGGUUAGCAAGUCAGAUGUGAAAUCCUAGGGCUUAACCAUAGGACUGCAUUUGAAACUGUUAGUCUAGAGUAUGGGAGAGGUAGGUGGAAUGCUUGGUGUAGGGGUAAAAUCCGUAGAGAUCAAGAAGAAUACUCAUUGCGAAGGCGACCUGCUAGAACAUAACUGACGCUGAUGCGCGAAAGCGUGGGGAGCAAACAGGAUUAGAUACCCGGGUAGUC
rnacentral:rRNA from 1 species